GGGCACAUGGUGUAGUUGGUUAUCACGCCCGCUUAGCAUUUUCAAUGCGCUUGCGGGCGGUCCCCGGUUCAAUUCCGGGUGUGUCCA
rnacentral:tRNA from 1 species